rnacentral:rRNA from 1 species
CCUACGGUGGGCAGCAGUGGGGAAUAUUGGACAAUGGGGGGAACCCUGAUCCAGCGACGCCGCGUGAGUGAAGAAGUAUUUCGGUAUGUAAAGCUCUAUCAGCAGGGAAGAAAGAAUUAACGGUACCUGACUAGGAACCCCCGGCUAACUACGUGCCAGCAGCCGCGUUAAUACGUAGGGGGCAAGCGUUAUCCGGAUGUACUGGGUGUAAAGGGAGCGUAGACGGCGAUGCAAGACUGAAGUGAAAGGCGGGGGCCCAACCCCUGGACUGCUUUGGAAACUGUAUGGCUGGAGUGCAGGAGAGGUAAGUGGAAUUCCUAGUGUAGCGGUGAAAUGCGUAGAUAUUAGGAGGAACACCAGUGGCGAAGGCGGCUUACUGGACUGUAACUGACGUUGAGGCUCGAAAGCGUGGGGAGCAAACAGGAUUAGAUACCCGAGUAGUC